rnacentral:siRNA from 1 species
UUAAUUCAGAUAAUACAGCGCGGA